rnacentral:tRNA from 1 species
GCGCUCGUAGCUCAAUGGAUAGAGCACUUGUCUUCGGAACAAGGGAUUGCAGGUUCGAGCCCUGCCGAGCGCACUA